rnacentral:rRNA from 1 species
CCACAAGCGGCGGAGCAUGUGGAUUAAUUCGAUGCAACGCGAAGAACCUUACCUGGGCUUGACAUACACCGGAUCGGGCUAGAGAUAGUCUUUUCCCCUUGUGGCUGGUGUACAGGUGGUGCAUGGUUGUCGUCAGCUCGUGUCGUGAGAUGUUGGGUUAAGUCCCGCAACGAGCGCAACCCUUGUCUUAUGUUGCCAGCACGUGAUGGUGGGGACUCAUGAGAGACUGCCGGGGUUAACUCGGAGGAAGGUGGGGAUGACGUCAAAUCAUCAUGCCCCUUAUGUCCAGGGCUUCACACAUGCUACAAUGGUCGGUACAACGCGUGUGCGACACUGUGAGGUGAAGCUAAUCGCUCUAAAGCCGGUCGUAGUUCGGAUUGGGGUCUGCAACUCGACCCCAUGAAGUCGGAGUCGCUAGUAAUCGCAGAUCAGCAACGCUGCGGUGAAUACGUUCCCGGGCCUU